UACGUAGGGGGCAAGCGUUGUUCGGAAUUACUGGGCGUAAAGGGCGCGUAGGCGGCACGGCAAGUCGGGAGUGAAAGGCCUGGGCUCAACCGAGGAACUGCUUUCGGGACUGCCGAGCUAGAGUGCGGAAGGGGCAACUGGAAUUCCCAGUGUAGCGGUGAAAUGCGUAGAUAUUGGGAAGAACACCGGAGGCGAAGGCGGGUUGCUGGGCCGACACUGACGCUGAGGCGCGAAAGCCAGGGGAGCAAACGGG
rnacentral:rRNA from 1 species